rnacentral:rRNA from 1 species
CCUACGGGAGGCAGCAGUGGGGAAUAUUGCACAAUGGGGGAAACCCUGAUGCAGCGACGCCGCGUGAGUGAAGAAGUACUUCGUUAUGUAAAGCUCUAUCAGCAGGGAAGAAAAUGACGGUACCUGAGUAAGAAGCACGGGCUAACUACUUGCCAGCAGCCGCGGUAAUACGUAGGGUGCAAGGGUUAUCCGGAUUUACUGGGGGAAAAGGGAGCGUAGACGGGAGGGCAAGUCUGGAGGGAAAGGCGGGGGCUCAAACCGCGGAAUGCUCUGGAAACUGUACGGCUGGAGUGCAGGAGAGGUAAGUGGAAUUCCUAGUGUAGCGGUGAAAUGCGUAGAUAUUAGGAGGAACACCAGUGGCGAAGGCGGCUGACUGGACUGUAACUGACGUUGAGGCUCGAAAGCGUGGGGAGCAAACAGGAUUAGAUACCCCUGUAGUC